CCCUUCCGUUCAGGACCACUCGGCUUGCGCAGCCGGCACGUCGAGGACAGCCCGCCGCGGGGCUUGCUGAGGAGACGCCUGCCGGCCCAGACACCAGUAGAGGUUCAUUAUCCAAGACGUUGCAGAAUGGAAUUGUAACCCUGACAUGUUGCCCUGUCACAUCUAGAAGAAACUGUUCAUCUCCAGAGAGAAAAGCGCCUUCUUAGAGCCAGUCUCCAGCAUUCAUGGAUCCCAGCUAGAGAUAUUUACUGAAGUGAGCAAGGAUUUGUAGCUGUUUGGAGCCUGAGUGGCAGAUGAAACCAGCUCGGAGACUUCUUGGAGCACAAGUAUGAGUUCCACCCCAGAGGCUGCUGCAGGGUGCCCAGGCUGCACACUGACCACCUCCACACUUGCAGAGCUGAGGGGAUCGCAGAGGAGACAUGCCAUUGCCUUGGAGCAGGGCAGUCUGCAUGGAAAACAAACAGGAUUCCUGCCUCCUCCAACUUUGGACUACACUGGAAAGCUGGUAAGGUGUGGAGAGUCAGUCAGAGUAGACGUUCAAUGCGAGCUGCAGGGCAGCUACAAUUUGUAAGACAUGAUCUGUUUCCUCACAGAACAACAGCCUUGUGGGUUGAUUGAACAAACAUCCCACAGAUGAGAAAUUAAAGCAGGGUAGGGUGGUCAAGGCCACUCUCUAAGCAAUUAAGGGGGCUACAACACAGGUCUCACCAUCCCCGGAUCAGGGCAGCCUAGGGCUGCACACACAGACACUAAGCUCUAGCUUCUUCAGGCUAAGAGUUGUCUCGACCCCUGAGUUGUCGGUGUCUGCUGCCAGUGAUCUUAAAUGCAGAUUUGUCUUUGUGCUAGAGGUAGAAGUCUUAGAGUUGAGUGAGGGAGCUCCUCCUCAGAAAUUUAGUAAAUUUUAGUGAGUAGCUAAUUCCUUCUUGCAACAUGUACUCCUUUGUGCAUAAUGUAAUACAGUUCUGGGUUUUGGAAAUACAUAGUCCUGGUGUAAUAGUACUAGUACUUUAAAGGUCCCUUUGGAAUUGCUCCUAAGCCUUCUUUACUCUGAUUUAGGCCUUUUAUCUUGCACAUGGCCUCUUACCGUUCUUCCCACUUCAUCCUCCUAGCUCUCACUCCCAGCUGGCCCUAAGGAGAGACUGGGUAGGGCAGUAGUUGGGAGUGUGGCCUCUGGAGGCAGAGGGCCCAGUCUCAAACCAUAGUUCUGCUGCUUAUUUGUUGUGUGACUUUGGGCCAGGGCCUUCACAAUGCUGGCUCGUUUGCCUUACUUUCUAAUGAGGAUAUGAUAGUACUGACUUCACCAAGUUGAUAGAAUUACAUGUGUCCAUCCAAGUACUUAAACAGUGACUGACCCAUAAUAAAACCUUAACUAUUUUCAUUUUGUUCAGUUCUCUGUUCAGAAACCUCAAAUAGUUAUAGAAUGGAGACCAGUGUUUAACCUGAAAUAGACUUUCUUGGCCUAUUUAAAUGGUAUUUCCUCACUUACUAAUCCAUGCACUCCAGCUCACUCAGUUCCCCAAACCUGCCCUCCUGUCUUGGCUCCUGCUGACCCAAUAUUGCCAUCAGUUGAAAUCACUGCUGCCCCUCAAGGGCAGGCUCUCUGGUCAGACAUGUCGAUGGGCUUUUUUCCUCCUUUGAGCCAUAUUUAGUCAAUAUCCAGCUUCCUCCAGUUGUAGAGGAAAUCAAAAGUCCUCAGACGUGAAAAAUAUUCUCCAAACAACUGACCAUUUAAAAAAUUACUUUCCAUUUAGACAUUGUUAAAUCACAAAAAUUCAACUGAGUAACUUUAAAGAUCAAAUUGGCAUGAUUCAAUGACUCAUGAGUUAGGCAGCAUCCCAUCCAGCAAUAGAAAGGAGCUCUGAAGGGCCAUACAAAAUGCAAAGUUUUUAAAAGGCAGAAAUGGGGGUGGGGAAAGGGGAAUUAUUAGUGAAGAAUGCAUUGUUCCAGGAAGGUAGCCUAUCUAACAGGAACGGAAGGGGUCUAUCAAGUGGUUUAUCUCACUAGUGCCGACUAGGUACCAUGAUGACUGGUUAAAGGUUAUACCUCAGGAGUUGAAGGUGCAGUUGGGUUAGUUAUUAAGCUGUGAUUUGCUAACAUGGGGCUUAGCACAAGUGACUCCACUUGGGGCCAGUUGUCUCUUUUUAAACAUCUCUCUGCUUAACACCCUCCACCCAGCAUAGUCCAUCUCUCCCAUCUCGUGCUUAGGAUUGUAAGGGGUCAGAAACUUCUGACACUAAUACAACACAAUGGUGCUGAAGUACGAUUUAAGUAUUAAGCCUAGAAUUUCAUAAAGUUACAAAGGUAUUGAUGGAAACUGCUCAAAGAUUGCAGUCAUUGGCAGAUGAGGAUCUGAGAGGCCCAUUAACACAUGAAGAGCUUCAUGGAACCAAUUAGGUACUUCAUGGGUAUGGCUAGAGGAUCAGAGAGCUAACAGAUUAAGAGAGGCCUUAAGGAAAACUGAGGAGGCCCUUGACUAACUUUUCAAAACUGACUGCCCUGUGGGAAUGGUGUCUGUUUUAUUAUGCAGUCAUAUAAAGUUUAGGAAGGAAAUAUACAUAAAAUGAUUCUAAGAAUUAGCCCGUAAUUGCAAUUGCACUUUGUUAAGAGAUACUAGUUUUAGUAGUUUCGUUUUGCAGUUAGUUCCAAUCAAACCUUUUUCACUAUUUAUAUAUGCAACUCUGGUCUCCACUUUAGGUUGACUCAAAGGGGAUUUUUCAGUUCUUUUUGGAUAAGCACCUUUUAACUUAUUUUUAUCUGCCUCAUCUUCCCUAACAGACGGCACACUCCUAGGGCAAACAGUGCUGAGACAAACAGAAAUGCCAUGUCAUCAUCUCAUGGGACAGUGGGGGCGGAUAUGUGUGAUUCACCAGUGAAGCCUGUGCAGACCCAUAACCCUCAAUUAUUUGUUAAAUGAAGGAGUCCUGGUGUAUCCAGAGCUGUUGAAAGCAAAGACCCUCAGUGAGGGUCCCCAGCAAUGAGGGGUGACUAGAUGACCUCAGAUCCCAGGCUGUUGCCCUCAGGUCCAUCCAGGUUUUUCAGGCAUUGGCCGUGAUCUCCAAAAAUCUGGAGUGCUUGCAGGACAGGACUGGGUGGAGGACACAAGAAUGACAAGGAUGAUCAAGGAUGCUCAGGUAAGGAGAGGCAGAGGCCCCAGCUGGCCUCCUCCCCUCAAGCUGUUAAAGCGGCUCUCGGUGCUCUGGUUCAUUCCUGCUUGGUAUGGUUCAGAAUUUUUUAAGAGUGAGCUUCAUAACCAGACUGAAUGAUGGAGCUUUUCCCAGUCCAAGGGAGGGUGUCUGGAAAGAGGUUAACCUCCUCCUUGGGAGUGGAGGAGGGAAGGACAGAUUGGCACCAAUGUUCACCCCAGCUCCAGGCACUGACUGCUCUGUAAGGAACCACCAAACCUAGCAGUGGAAAAGAGCAAGGUCAGGUGCUGCAAGGCCUUUCCGUUCAGCCCUCCUUUCACUGACCAGAUUGGGUUAGCAGAGCCCUCAGGCCCGAGACAGUCCUGAAGUUAAUGCCUCAGAACUGCAUGGGGAUGGGUGGAGGGCAGUGUACAUGUGAGGCAUGGCCUUGAACACAUCUCUGGUGGGAACACCUGAUGUGCUAGCAGUUUCUUCAAGCUCCUGGGAACAUGGCCUUUGCUGCAUCCCUGGCAGACUCAUAGGGAGCUGUGGUUAAUAAAGUGUCUCCAUUUUAAAUACCUUGAUUUGUAAGUCUCCAAGGAAGCAUGCAUGAAAGGAGGGCAGAGAACUGUACCUCAGGAAUACCAAUAUUUAGGAAGCAGGGAGAGGACUGUCAGGAAAAGCCCCUGAAGGCCAAUUGAAGAGGUGUAAGAGUCAGCAGAAGGUUUAUUAAGGUUACCCUGUUGUAAAGUGCUUUGAGAAGGAAUGCUUUGGGGCAGGGUCUGGGGUGUAUGGCUAGUACUUGGGGACAUCUGAGAACAGUGUUAGAGGGGCAAUAGGAGCUUCUGAGCUGGUUGAUCAAGUCAGAUGAAAAAUCAUAUCCUUGAGGUGCCAAAGGAGGGAGGUCACGUCCCAAAGGCUGACAGGGAGGGACCUCAAGAGUGGGAGCUGCCCCCAGUCAAGAAUGUAUGCUAGUGGGUACCACCUUCUGGGUGACUUGAAAGAACCUGCAGUUCUAGGGACUGACCUUCCAAAUGGCAACAAAGUACAACAGGGGAACCAUUUACAACUAACACUCAUCUAUUUUAACUUGCGUGACAAAGCCUUAAUAUGUUCGGCUACCUUGGGCUCCAUUAGCAUUGGAGAUGGCAGGGAGGAUCAUAUGAAUGCAAGGUCUUCACUUCCUUUUCCAACCACAGACUCUAGGAUCUUCAUGGUGGCUCUCUUGCUAGAUAGAGCACACAGCCUGGGCCCAGGCCUCUGCCUCAGACAUCUACGCUACAGAGGUAAAGGCCACCUGGCUCUGCCUCCCCUGUUCCUCAGCCUGGAGAGUGGGUCUACAUCUUGCAGUUCGGUGUGUAAUCUGGCACCUCAGCAAAGUAAGGCCACCUCAGUCUCCACAGGGCACAGGAGUUCUUAGCUGCCACCUCCUCAAACCCAACAAGCAGUUUCUUUCUGACCCCCUUUCAUUGCUUUUAUAUAAUAUAAUUUUAAAGCAUCAGUACACCUGCAGACCCGCCUCCAUUAAAAAAAUUUUAAUCCUUUAAUAAAGUACAUACAUGAACUUAAGUCUUUGAGUAGUGAUACAUUUGUAAUUUAUUGUAAAACUCAGAUCAGAAUGCUUCAAAGUCAAAAUUUUAUCUCUGUAAGGUGGAGGACAUGAGGUGGGGCCAACUGUCUUCUAGUUUUAAGAUAUGGUAAAAUAGAAUGUCUGCCAGCUGCCAAAAGCCAGAGACAGAAAUGCCAUCUCAUCUCAUGAACAGUGGGGAGGGGAACAUUUACUUAACACCCACCUUCAACCUCCUCUUCUGGCAAGUGCUCUGCUCUAGAUGAGGAAAUGCUCAGUUCCUCACCCACCCACCGGCGUCUCAGCUGGUGCUGCGGGCCUGGGAUUCCAAACCCAGGUUCUCUCCACCAAACUAGUGGUUUUGAAACUGGCUCUUGUGGCUGUGCUUCAGGGGAUCCCUGAAAACACUUCAAAGAUCAUAUUAAAUAUUAAAAAUCAUCUCUAAUAUGUACACCCAACGAUAAAACACAUUAGCUUAGACUGCCUGAGACCUCACAAUAAGGUGUCUGUAGCUGCCUCUGUGUAGGCUUCUCAUAGGUCAGCGAUGCAGAGGGUGCUAGCCUGGUACCUGGAUCACCAUGCCCAGCUGCAACUCAAUGCUAGUGGCUCUCACUGUAGAAUAACUUGAGUGCUUAUUUAUAAUCGUUGGGUGUUUCUUACUAAUCUAUGGAGGAUAAGGAUUGAAAGCAGGUAUUGAAUAUUCUCCCCUAUUAAUCCUUUUUUUCAAGCAUCUACUUCACUUUUGUCAAUAACCAGAGAUUGCAGGCAAGCUGUGAC